CAAGGUGAGGGGGAGGGGGGAUGAAGAAACUGGUGAAGUCCAAGUUCACCCCCUGCGGCUGGAGGGUUCCCAGUCGGAGCGAUUCAGAGAACAUCUCUGGG